GUUUGGCACUUAAUAGCCCUGGCUUUGGAAGAUAACUGGGAGGAGUCCAAGAGGGAUCCAGUAUCUAGGCCCCAAGAUACUUUCUGAAGCCCCAGUUUUGUUCUGUUACUCUACUGAUGAGCCUCGACCCCGGUGAGCAGUCCCUCCCUGGGAGCUGGAACCGGGCCGGGCUCCCUGGUCUGAACCCUCCAGGCUGCUCAAGAAGGCAGCAGGGUUGAAAACCGCAUGCAGGUGCCAUCCUGGGGGCCCUCCUUUGGUGCAAAGGUACUCAAAAUGAUGAACACGGGUUCCCGUGGCCAGAGUGUCAUCACUUCAUGACAUCUGGGCUCCACAGUCCUCUCCUAGAUCAGAGACCUCUGCUGCCAUCAGUCCUCCCACGUGUCGUGGGGAGGGGAGGGGAGAGGAGGGCAACCAACCGAAGCCUGAGCCUUGCCUUCCAACCCCCUACUCCUCCCCAUCUGCCAUCCUCCCCCUCCUCUUUCCCCUCCCCGUGCCAGCACCUGGAGCCCGGAAAGGUUGGUCCCCCCAGAGACACCCGAGGGAGCCAUCUCAGACACUGCAUUUUCCUCUGCUCCCCUCCCCCUGGCUGGAUUUCUAGAACUAGGAGCUGAUGCUGCAGACUAGGGGAGCUUUGCUUCCAGUGAACUUGAACCCCGGGGGUUUCUAACCCCCAAAGAGAUCAGGCCCUAAUAGGUGUACCAAGGGGGCAGGUGGCCAACAUCAGGACCAAAGACUUCCCUCCUUCACUCCCUUCUCUCUGCACGUGGAGCUCGUGGGCAUUUCUCGUGACUCACUCCUGCUGGCUAGCGACAUUUCAGCAUGUGCAAGACUAGAACCAGGCGCGCCCCCGCAGAUCAGGUGGGGGCGGACCACGAGGAUCCCCUUUCACAGAAAGCAGCAGCGGACCGGACACUGCAGGAGAACCCGGCGGGCCUGGCCCCUGGAGGUGGCUGGCAGACGAACAGACUGGAACAUAACGACACAGAAGAUGCCAGAUUGCGCGGUCCAGAGCGGGGGCUGUCCCGUGAAGAGACUUUUCUGUCACGCACAUGUACACAGAGCACAGGUGCAUGGGGCGGGGUCAUGCCAUGUGACACACUGCUCUCCGUGAAUGUCCUUGCUCUGUCAAGAGCGGCUUCGGGGGCCACAGAGGAUGUGACUGAGCCAGCUGCACGUGGCCGGCCAGGCGUUCCCUGGUGUGGACCGAUGCCUCGGGAGUCGAACCUGGAGGCACCCUGGGGACGAACCCCUGGAAACAGGCAGGACCCCUGGGGAGGGCUCUGGGGUCCCCUGAGGCAGAUCUGACUGAUUUUAGCCCAAAGUAAGACACGGCACAAGCCCAGCCAAUGCUGGGGUGCAGCCGGUCGUUCCAUUCAGUCUAAACAACGUUCUCCCAGGGCAGUCACGUGCCUGUUUUAUACGCGGGGAAACCGAGGCCCAGCGUUGAGAGGCGUGGCAAUCAACAGCAGUGGGACUGGAGAGCACCCUCUCAGCGGACCCAGGCCACUCUCGUCUCAUCGGAGCUAUGACGCAUCUCUGGAAAAGCAGGCUUCCCGAGGAUGCCUUGAACCUCACGAUGUGCUUUCCGGGAACACAGUAACUAGGGACCCACGCUCUUUAUUGUGCCCGAAACACGGGGCAGGGAGACACCUGUGAAACUUGUCUGGAGAUGACCCGGAAGGGUGUUGGCCACAUCGGUCCCGCACGCCCCGCGACCAUCUGCGACCAGGCAGCUCUAGAGCCUUCUGGAUCGAGACUCCCAGAUUGAAGGUGAGCUCCGCAAGGCCACAGAUAAGAAGCACAUCUUUCAAAGAGGACCACACAGGCCCCUGUUUAGA